ACAUAACCUUUAGCCCAACAAAUAUUAAAGGCAACGCCUGCCCAGUGAACAAUUAAACGGCCGCGGUACCCUAACCGUGCAAAGGUAGCGUAAUCAUUUGUCUACUAAUUAUAGACCUGUAUGAAAGGCAAAAUGAGGGCCUAGCUGUCUCUUAUAAUAAAUCAAUUAAACUGAUCCACUAGUAAAAAAGCUAGAAUACUAACAUAAGACCAGAAGACCCUGUGAAGCUUAAACUAAAACAUUAAACCCCAUAAUGACUACUUUCGGUUGGGGCGACCUUGGAAAUAAACAAAACUUCCAAAACUGAGUGAUAUACACCACACCCUUUUAGGCCCACAAGCCAAACAUAGACCCAGCAACGCUGAUAACUGAACAAAGUUACUCCAGGGAUAACAGCGCAAUCUUCUUCAAGAGCCCAUAUCAAAAAGAAGGUUUACGACCUCGAUGUUGGAUCAGGACAUCCUAAUGGUGCAGCCGCUAUUAAGGGUUCGUUUGUUCAACGACUAACGUCCUACGUGA
rnacentral:rRNA from 1 species